rnacentral:rRNA from 1 species
UACGUAGGGGGCAAGCGUUGUCCGGAAUCAUUGGGCGUAAAGGGCUCGUAGGCGGUCUGUUGCGUCGGGAGUGAAAACUCAGGGCUUAACCCUGAGCCUGCUUCCGAUACGGGCAGACUAGAGGUAUGCAGGGGAGAACGGAAUUCCUGGUGUAGCGGUGAAAUGCGCAGAUAUCAGGAGGAACACCGGUGGCGAAGGCGGUUCUCUGGGCAUUACCUGACGCUGAGGAGCGAAAGUGUGGGGAGCGAACAGG